rnacentral:misc_RNA from 1 species
UUCGGUGUUUCAGAAAUUGCGUUCAAUUUUUAUUGAAAUUCUUCCACGAUACCUGCGGUAACUGAUAACAAAUCAAUUUCAGCUUGUUAAUUUAAUCAUAACAACGUUCUGUAUCAUCAUAUUGUAGUCUAUCUUUUAAACGUGUCAAAUUUAAAAUGUUACAAUCCGUAUCAGACCACAUGAAAUGCUAAAUUACACGUUGCAGGCUCGUGCAUUCGUUAUUAUGACGUUAGACGUUUACGUUAUGAAAUACAUGGAAGAAAUGUAUGUAUGUAUGUAUGUAUGUAUGUAUGUAUGUAUUAUCAAGUAUGUAUAAGCUAAUUUGCUUCCCAUUAUUAUUGAACAAUAUCGUUACUAUAGGAUACUUAUUAAUAUAUUAAUAAACUGAUAGUUAAUAUAUGUGAAUUAUCACAUUUAUUUUGCAGUAUUAAUUCCUAAUUUCUUACUCAAGAAAUAUAGGCAAUUGUGAUUCAUAGAUAAAUAUGUUUCAAUCAAUUAUACAAUUUCUGUAACAAUAGUAUUUAUCACUUAUUCUUCCGCUUCCUAUCAAUUUUAUCAAUUUCGUAUUUGGAUUUAAAAGAAUAUUUUAACGAUUAUAAGUUAAGAUGUCUGUAAAAUUUGAAUUCGAAUCAGAGAACUGAUGUUAUGAUAUAUAGAUAGCGAGUUCUGCAUUAUACAACCAUCUAAUACCGUUACUUAGCUAUAACACUACGCGAUGUUUCAUCGUGCGCACUAACCUAUCUUUUAUACCGAUCAUCAUCGACCACUGUUUUGUAAUAUCGUCAAUAAAAUAUGACACGAAGCCAUCGUGUGAUCGAUUUUUCCGUCGAAUGUCAAGCCUCAUGAUUCUAAUUGUAUUCGCCGUUUCGAUCGUCUAGUCGAACGACGCACAUCACUAUUUACCUUCAUUGUGGACGAUCUUAGUUCGUCGACCGCAACAUCAACAACGCGGUAAGAUCGACGCGUAUGGUUACGUUACCGCCUGUUAUCCGGAAGUUUGGCAAAAAGCUGCUUCUCAAAACGUGACUAAUAUCGACGAUUUUCGUACAAGGCGAAAAGCUUACACAGAGACGAAACAGGCGAAGCAGACGAACCUGCCGCACGACCUGCACUGACUCUCGUCUGCUUCAACGACAGAACCUGGACUCUCACUAUACGACCGCGUGC